rnacentral:rRNA from 1 species
CCUACGGGAGGCAGCAGUGGGGAAUUUUGGACAAUGGGCGAAAGCCUGAUCCAGCAAUGCCGCGUGAGUGAAGAAGGCCUUCGGGUUGUAAAGCUCUUUUGUCAGGGAAGAAACGGUGAAGGCUAAUAUCCUUUGCUAAUGACGGUACCUGAAGAAUAAGCACCGGCUAACUACGUGCCAGCAGCCGCGGUAAUACGUAGGGUGCAAGCGUUAAUCGGAAUUACUGGGCGUAAAGCGUGCGCAGGCGGUUUUGUAAGUCUGAUGUGAAAUCCCCGGGCUCAACCUGGGAAUUGCAUUGGAGACUGCAAGGCUAGAAUCUGGCAGAGGGGGGGUAGAAUUCCACGUGUAGCAGUGAAAUGCGUAGAUAUGUGGAGGAACGCCGAUGGCGAAGGCAGCCCCCUGGGUCAAGAUUGACGCUCAUGCACGAAAGCGUGGGGAGCAAACAGGAUUAGAUACCCUGGUAGUCCACGCCCUAAACGAUGUCUACGUCUUAGUUCGGUUCGGUUACUUAGUUACGUUAGUUACGGUACGACGACGUACCGUACGGUCGUAGUAAGUAACGCCCGUCGGGUAGGGGACGGUACCGGUCGACGAAGUAAACUUAAACCGUAAGAAACGGUUAAGUUACGGACCGUCGUAGGACGUACGUUACGACCGGACGGACCGACGACGGGAGGGAGGUUAGGG